rnacentral:lncRNA from 1 species
AGAUUUGUUGAGAAAGCUAAGGAAUUUUGAAUUUCUUCUUGAACCCAUUGUAAGUUUGUUUUGUUAGAUUUAAUUUCUUGUUUUUUGGAUGUUGUUGUCUCUGUUGGGUUGAUUAUUUAAAUUAUGUAGUUGAUUGAUUGCUCCACAGAACCCACGAAACUAAAUGAAAGAAGAAUAUGAAUUGGAUUUAUUAAGUUUGGGUGUAUUGAUCAACUUUCAGUCUCCAGUUUUGGUUUUUCAAACUUCGAUUCUUGUUGGUAAUUGAGUAGCAGUCAGAACUGAAAUUAUAUACUUGUUUUUAAGAUUGUUCACGAGUGUUUUGGGGUUUUGUUUUGGUUUUUUUUUUUUCUGAAAAAAAAAAGGUGCAAAAGUUGUUCAGUUUCAAAUUUUUAGAAAGUGUGAUUGUUUUACCGACAUUGACUGUUAGUUUUGCACAGGUUGUGGGUUAGUUUUGAGAUAUACGUACUUGGUUUUAAACUGUACAUAUCCAGGAUUAAAAGCCCUCUGACAUCAUGUGAUUUGGCUGAAAUUUGAUACCUAAAGUUUGGUAAUUAAAGUAUGACUACAAAAUCUGUCAAAAGCAGGGGCUGCAGUUUCAAUUUUGAGACACUUACCUUUGUUAUAUGAAAAGAGACAUCUUAAUGAACAUUUGAAAACUUGUUUCAUGUCAAUCAGAGUUAAAUUGAAUUUAUGGUAACUUUUUCAAGUUAGUGUUAUGCUGCAGAAAAACAGAAAAGUCUAUAACUUAGUCUGUUUUGAAUUCAGUUUUUGACAUGAUUCCUUAACUUCGAAUUGAAUGAAUUUUUGAUAUGAUGAGGUUCUAUAUGUGUCUAGUUAUGAUCUAGAAAGUUUUACAUUCUUUUGAAUUAAAUUGAAUGUUUAGUUAGCAACACCACUGCAAAUGUUAGGUGAUGGCCACAGAGCUCAAGAUCUCCUAUGUCAAGAUUGUAACCCCAAUUUACCUUCUAUGCAAUUGAUCAUCUUUUCUCAAAAAAAAAAAAAAAAAAAAUUUGACGGGGGAUUGUGUUGGUUUUCUCUUACCAUUCCUCCCCGUACUUACACCCAUUUCUUAUCUUUCUUUUUUUUUUAAAUGGUUUUUUGGUAAGUUGACUUCAUUCAGGAAUUUUUGGUCCUUAAAAUUUGUUUUGUUGGAUUCUUUAUUCCUCUUGUUUUAUUUGGCAUUUGGUUUAGCAAGACAUUUCUAUCAAAUGAAAUUUCUGAUUUGGACCAAGAAUUUACAGACCUGUAUCAUUUUCAUUCAUGCUUACUUGUAAUUUCUAGACCUUCAUUCUCAUUUUCUAAUCUUCUGUUUUAAUGCAGGUGUGGUUGUAAUUGUUUUAGUACCAUUUACACCCUUUUUUGGAUAUGAAGCAUCACAUCCUCUCAUACGAUCAUGGAGCAUACUUUGUUUUGGCAGUCCAAGUAUCAAAUCUUCUCAAACUUCAUAGGAUUGACUUUGUGGGAUUAUUUCAAGAAAAUAUUAAUGUACUAGC